CCUCGUCACAGGGUCAGCCGGACCCAGGUUGGCACUGGCGAGCCUGCAUGGGGAGCUUCUCAGAAUCUGCAGAUUCAACUGGAUGUAUCCAUGAGUUAAGAAUGCAUUUGGCUGCAUUUGACAGGAAAUACUACUACAGCAACUUGAACAAGACCAGGUUGAUUUUUCUCAUCUAAUUCAGAGGUAGGCAAUUCAAAGAAAAUAUAGCUGAUCAUAUAGGGUAUUAGGGACCUAGGUUUUUCCCUAUCUAUUUGCACUUCUAUUGGCAUAAAGUAUUUGUUCUUGUAGUCUCAAGAUGAAAGUUAUAUGCCUGAGCAUUACAUUCAUUUCCCGGUGGGCAAAAGAGGCAAGGACAAUUGGUGGGUGACUAACUCAACCCAGUUUGUCUGGAAAUUUCUCAUUUUCAACACUGUAAGCCCCAAAUUCCAUUAGUUGAGCUAAAAACAAAAUCACAUCUGAUUUACCUGUGGUUUUUGUUUUUCAUGCCAAGAGAAUAUCUUAUAAGAUUGUAAAACAAAAAUCAGAGCCAAUUCACCUUCUGCAAAGGUAGAAUCCAACCAAGAUAUGAUCACAGUCCUAUUCACAAUUUUUUAUUAUUUUUAGAUAUGGCUUGUUUUCCUGGGUCAUGGCAUAAAUAGUCUGGUUGAUUAUCUCCAAAAAAUGCUAUUCCAGAAUUUACCUAGGUCAAUUAUUCUUAGGAUCUUUCCUGAAGAAUGGCUUAGUUAAAUGUUGUCAUUACUUUGGUUAUUUUAUGAAGCUUUUAAAAUAAUAGUUUAACAAGUAUAUUACAAAACAAAGUAAAAAGUAUAGUAAAAAGCAAAAUCGAAAUGCACAUUGCUGUAAUGUUUUAAAAUAUAAGCUAAUAUCAAAAAAUUCUUAAAGUUCUGAUAACUGUAAUUAAUAAAGCAAUAAUUUGAAAUAUUGAUAGAAGUUAAACAAAAAAUCAUUUAUAUCUAAACACACUAGAACAAAAUUUAAGGGUUGUUUUUUUGAGAGAAAAUAUAUGCCUUUUGCAUGGAUGAAAUUCCCUUAAUCAGUCUGUUUCUGUUUAUCAAAGGAGUUUGAGGACAUCCAACAAAUGAUCAAUAUUAGUUAUGAAUUCUAAAGAAAUUAAAAUUUAUUUAUAGCCUGUUUAUUACUUGCUGUUUUCAAGGCAUAAAAUAGUAUUUUACGGCCUUAGGAGCAAAAUAUAGAUUUUUCCAUGAUAAGCAUAAAAUUAUAAUAUGGUUAA
rnacentral:lncRNA from 1 species